rnacentral:piRNA from 1 species
UCCCAAAGAUAACUGCUUACAGAAUUCCCC